rnacentral:rRNA from 1 species
CGGAGGAGCAUGUGGUUUAAUUCGAUGAUACGCGAGGAACCUUACCUGGGCUCGAACGUAAGAUGACUGUAGGUGAAAGCUUACAUCUCUUCGGAGCAGUUUUACGGGGUGCUGCAUGGUUGUCGUCAGCUCGUGCCGUGAGGUGUCGGGUUAAGUCCCAUAACGAGCGCAACCCCUACCUUUAGUUGCCAUCAGGUUAAGCUGGGGACUCUAAAGGAACUGCCUACGCAAGUAGUGAGGAAGGCGGGGAUGACGUCAAAUCAGCACGGCCCUUACGUCCAGGGCUACACACGUGCUACAAUGGCCGAUACAGAGGGCAGCUACCUGGUGACAGGAUGCAAAUCUCCAAAGUCGGUCUCAGUUCGGAUCGGAGUCUGCAACCCGACUCCGUGAAGUUGGAUUCGCUAGUAAUCGCGCAUCAGCCAUGGCGCGGUGAAUACGUUCCCGGGCCUU